rnacentral:rRNA from 1 species
CAUGCAAGUCGAGCGGCAGCGGGAGGAAGCUUGCUUCCUCGCCGGCGAGCGGCGGACGGGUGAGUAAUGUCUGGGGAUCUGCCCGAUGGAGGGGGAUAACCACUGGAAACGGUGGCUAAUACCGCAUAACGUCGCAAGACCAAAGUGGGGGACCUUCGGGCCUCACACCAUCGGAUGAACCCAGAUGGGAUUAGCUAGUAGGUGGGGUAAUGGCUCACCUAGGCGACGAUCCCUAGCUGGUCUGAGAGGAUGACCAGCCACACUGGAACUGAGACACGGUCCAGACUCCUACGGGAGGCAGCAGUGGGGAAUAUUGCACAAUGGGCGCAAGCCUGAUGCAGCCAUGCCGCGUGUGUGAAGAAGGCCUUCGGGUUGUAAAGCACUUUCAGCGAGGAGGAAGGUGGUGAGCUUAAUACGUUCAUCAAUUGACGUUACUCGCAGAAGAAGCACCGGCUAACUCCGUGCCAGCAGCCGCGGUAAUACGGAGGGUGCAAGCGUUAAUCGGAAUUACUGGGCGUAAAGCGCACGCAGGCGGUUUGUUAAGUCAGAUGUGAAAUCCCCGAGCUUAACUUGGGAACUGCAUUUGAAACUGGCAAGCUAGAGUCUCGUUAGAGGGGGG